UACGGGGGGGGCAAGCGUUGUUCGGAAUUACUGGGCGUAAAGGGCUCGUAGGCGGCCAACUAAGUCGGACGUGAAAUCCCUCGGCUUAACCGGGGAACUGCGUCCGAUACUGGAUGGCUUGAGUGUGGGAGAGGGAUGCGGAAUUCCAGGUGUAGCGGUGAAAUGCGUAGAUAUCUGGAGGAACACCGGUGGCGAAGGCGGCAUCCUGGACCGACGACUGACGCUGAGUGAGCG
rnacentral:rRNA from 1 species